ACAAACUUGGUCAUUUAGAGGAAGUAAAAGUCGUAACAAGGUUUCCGUAGGUGAACCUGCGGAAGGAUCAUUGAUGGAUAAAAUUUUCCCAAGCCUUUUAUGGGGGGCGAUGAAAUUAAAUUUCUCUCUUUCCCUUUCUGGCUUGCAAACAACUUUGAUACCCAAAAAGAGUUUCAUCUUUGAGUUCCCGCUUUCAGCUUUUAAUUUGCUGGAUAGUUGGAAUGUCAAGGACAGGAUUAGGGGGGAGACCCUUGGUUCUGGAAUGGUGUAACAACAAAUGUGGAUGCCUGAUAAAAGAACAAGAGUUUGGAUUUGGGAAAAAAUUGAAACAACUUUCAACAACGGAUCUCUUGGCUCUCACAUCGAUGAAGAACGCAGC
rnacentral:misc_RNA from 1 species